rnacentral:rRNA from 1 species
CUAUGACCUCAGAUCAGUGGUGCUGACCCUCUGAAUUUAAGCAUAGUACGAAGCAGAGGAUAAAAAACUAAUCGGGAUGACCUCAAUAAGGGGGAGUGGAGAGGUAAGAGACCAGUGCCAAAUCCAUGUCGAAAUGUGGCAUACAGAAGACUGACUCGCUGGCAUCGCUCAGGGGGCCCAAGUCCUUCUGAUUGAGGCUCACCCCAUGGAUGGCACACCGCGAUCAGUUCUUCUCGGAGUCGGCUUACUUCAGAAUGCAGCCUAAAGCGGGUGGUGAACUCCAUCUAUGGCUAAAUAAGGCGCGAGACCGAUAGCCAACAAGUACCAUAAGGGAAAGUUGAAAAGAACUUUGAAGAGAGAGUUCAAGAGGGCGUGAAACUGUUGAGAGGUAAACGGCUGGGGUCCGUGCAGUCCACCCACAAGAUUCAACAUGGCAGGCAAGUCAGUCACCCGGAAUGGUGGAUCCCCUCACGGGAACAUUGCAGGGUGCAUUUUGUCCAUGGCGGUGCACCGCAACCAGCUCAGGGUCAGCUAGGAAGGCUUUUGGCUCUCUGCUCUGGCAGAGAGUGUUACAGCCCCCUGGCAGCAGUUUUGCAGUGUCUGAGGGGCCGUGGGAGAUUGAUUGCUGCCGCGUCGUUCUCUGGCAACCGUGCCGACCCCUCUCGGGGGUCGCCGAGGUGGUGAUGGGGGACGGGGCCUCCUGCUCCCAGUGAGACUGUCGACUGGGGUAGAAUGUCCUCAGUGUGCCCUGACCAUGUCAUGGUGCUGGGCGGGGAGGCCCACAAAGGGCGCCAGGGGUCUGCAGUAAUGUUGGUUACCCACCCAACCCAUCUUGAAACACAGACCAAGGAGUCUAAAAUGUACGCGAGUCAGAGGGACGAACAAAACCCUCUGGCGCAAUGAAGGUGAAGGCCGGCGUGCACCGGAUGAGGUGAGAUCCUGUCGUGGCGGGGGCACCACCGCCUCGUCUCGUCUGCUCUGUCGGGGCGGUGGAGCAUGACCGUAUGUGAUAGGACCUGAACGAUGGUGAACUAUGCCUGCUGGUGGUCUGUAGCGGUUCUGAUGUGCAAAUAGGGGCGAAAGACUAAUGAAACCAUCUAGUAGCUGGUUCCCGCCGAAGUUUCCCUCAGGAUAGCUGGCACUCGGAUUACCCCAGUUGUAUCUGGUAAAGCGAAUGAUUAGAGGUUUUAGGGCUGAAACGAUAUCAACGUAUUCUCAAACUUUAAAUCGGUAAGUCCGGAUAGCUGCCAUGGAGAACUGCAUACAAGUGUCCAGGGGGGCACCUCUGGUAAGCAGAACUUGCGCUGAACCAAAUGCCGAGUUAAGGCGCCCGAUGCCAAGGCUCAUCAGACCCCAGAAAAAGAUGUUGGUUGAUAUAGACAGCAGGACGGUGGCCAUGGAAGUUGGAAUCUGCUAAGGAGUGUGUAACAACUCACCUGCCAAGUCAACUAAUCCUAAAAAUUGAUGUCACUGGAGCAUUAGGCCCAUACCUGGCCGUCACCGGCGCUGAGAGCCGGGGGGACUAAGCCACGACGAGUCGGAGGGCUGCUGUGGUGCGCACAGAAGCUGGGGCGAGGUCCGGUUGGAGGCGCUGCAGCUGCCAAUUUUGGUGGUAGUAGCAAAUAUUCAAAUAAGAACUUUGAGGGCUGAAUGGGUCAUGGGUGAUCAUUGUUCGGAAUGGAUGAGCAAUGGCCUCUGUUGCCCUUAGCCAAUCAAAAGGAAGUCGGGUUCAGAUCCUCAAACCCAGAGUGGUGCAGGCGGGCACCCUCGCGGCGUCCGGUGCCAUAACGCAACUGAUCCCGGAGAAGUCUGCGUGAGCCCCGGGAGAGUUCUCUUUUCUUUGUGAAUGGUAGGACACCCUGGAAUAUGUUUUCCCUGGGAGAGGGGCCUCAGCCUUGGAAAGUGUUGCGGUUCCAGUGACAUUCGGUUAGCUCUUGCUGGUCCUUUAAAAUCCAGGGGAGAUAGGCAUUCUCGGCGAUGCCUAGCAGCUGACUUAAACUGGUGCGGACAAGGGUAAACGGACUCUUUUAUUAAAACAAAGCAUUGAGUGUUGAUGUAAUGUGGUGCCUUCCCAGUGCUCUGAAUGUCAAAGUGAAGAAAUUCAAUGAAGCACGGGUAAACGGUGGAGGUAACUAUGACUCUCUUAAGGUAGCCAAAUACCUCAUGAUCUAAUUAGUGACAUGCAUGAAUGGUUGAAUGAUAUUCCCACUGCAUCCACCUACUAUCUGGAGAAACCACAGCCAAGGGAAUGGGCUAGGCAGAAUCCGCAGGGAAAGAAGACCAUGUUGAUUCCAGUCUGGCACUGUGAAGAGACAUGAGAGGUGUAGGAUAAGUGGGAGGCUUUGGGCUACAGGUGAAACACCACUACUCUUAUCAUUUUUUCUCUUACCUGGUGAGGGGGGGUGAUCCCCAUAUGGCUCUCGCUUCUGGUUCCAAGCGCCUGGUGCCCACCAGGUGUCACACUCUCCGGGGAAAGUGGCAGGUGGGGAGUUUGACUGGGGCGAUACACCUGUCAAACGAUAACGCUGUUGUCCCAAGGUGAGCUCAGGGAGGACAGAAACCUCCUGUGGAGCAGAAGGGCAAAAGCUUGCUUGAUCUCGAUUUUCAGUAGGAAUACAGACCUUGAAAGUGGGGCCUCACAAUCCUUCUGACUUUUCGGGUUUCAAGUAGGAGGGGUCAGAAUAGUUACCACAUAGAUAAAUGGCUUAUGGCAGCCAAGUGUUCAUAGCAAUGCCACUUUUUCAUCCUUCGAUGUUAGCUGUCCCUAUCAUUGUGAAGCAGAAUUCACCACACGUUGGAUUGUUCACCCACAAAUAGGGAACGUGAGCUGGAUCUAGACCAUCGUGAGACAGGUUAGUUUUACCCACCUGAUGAUGCUUUGUUGCAAUAGUAAUCCAGCUCAGGAUGAGAGGAACCACAGGUUCAGACAUUUGGUGUUUGUGUUUGGAUGUCAAGCCAAAGGGACGAAGCUACCACCUGGGGAUUAUGGCUGAACACCUCUAAGUCAGAAUCCCCCCUAAAACAUAACAAUACUGAAGCGAUGUGGAACCUUGGUUGGCCUAGGAUAGCCAGCCUCUGGUCCGGUGUGUAGAGCCGCUCACCUCAGGAUUCGAGUUUGGACAGAAGAGGGCCACCUCUCUCACCCAUAGUGCAUCACAUGU